rnacentral:rRNA from 1 species
UGGGGAAUUUUGGACAAUGGGCGAAAGCCUGAUCCAGCAAUGCCGCGUGUGUGAAGAAGGCCUUCGGGUUGUAAAGCACUUUUGUCCGGAAAGAAAUCCUUGGCUCUAAUACAGUCGGGGGAUGACGGUACCGGAAGAAUAAGCACCGGCUAACUACGUGCCAGCAGCCGCGGUAAUACGUAGGGUGCAAGCGUUAAUCGGAAUUACUGGGCGUAAAGCGUGCGCAGGCGGUUUGCUAAGACCGAUGUGAAAUCCCCGGGCUCAACCUGGGAACUGCAUUGGUGACUGGCAGGCUAGAGUAUGGCAGAGGGGGGUAGAAUUCCACGUGUAGCAGUGAAAUGCGUAGAGAUGUGGAGGAAUACCGAUGGCGAAGGCAGCCCCCCUGGGCCAAUACUGACGCUCAUGCACGAAAGCGUGGGGGAGCAAAACAGGAUUAGAUACCCUGGUAGUCCACGCCCUAAACGAUGUCAACUAGUUGUUGGGGAUUCAUUUCCUUAGUAACGUAGCUAACGCGUGAAGUUGACCGCC